UACGUAGGGUGCGAGCGUUGUCCGGAAUUAUUGGGCGUAAAGAGCUCGUAGGCGGUGUGUCGCGUCGGCCGUGAAAACCUAGGGCUCAACUCUGGGCGUGCGGUCGAUACGGGCAUCACUUGAGUUCGGCAGGGGAGACUGGAAUUCCUGGUGUAGCGGUGAAAUGCGCAGAUAUCAGGAGGAACACCGGUGGCGAAGGCGGGUCUCUGGGCCGAUACUGACGCUGAGGAGCGAAAGCAUGGGUAGCGAACAGG
rnacentral:rRNA from 1 species